AUGUUUUCAGUGGCAUAUGUGAUAAAACUGGAACCACACAGAAAAAAUUAGUAAGAUUCCUGUAUAAGAAUGGCAUGAACAUACAUGAAGCAUUCAGAUAUGAG